rnacentral:sRNA from 1 species
CAGAAGUCUGGCAAGACCAGGCCCACUUUCCCACCAGGCAGCAAUUGGCUGGAGCCAAGGAGCAGCUGUGCUCUGUAGACAAGUCAUGUGCCUCCUUGCCUGCUACAUAGCAGGCCCUUCCUGCUGCUCCUGCCUGGCCAUAGUCACUUAUUGGAGAAACAGAAGCCUACCAGUUGCUGAAGAAGGCCACCCUUCAGGAUAAUACAAAUCAAACUGAAAACAGGUUUCAAAAGGCAGAUGCUUCUGUGUCACACUUGUCAGGUUUGAAUAUUGGCAGCGGUGCAUUCGAGACAAAGACAGCUAACAAAAUUGCUUCGGAAGCUAGUUUUUCAUCUAGUGAAGGAAGUCCUUUGUCAAGGUAAAGUUGUGAAAGCCUUUCUGAAUAGCAGCAACAAGAUGAGAAAUGUCACAACGCAAUGAAUUAAACUCUGGCUGCAUAUUA